rnacentral:tRNA from 1 species
UCCCUGGUGGUCUAGUGGUUAGGACUUGACGCUUUCACUGCUAUGGCCUGGGUUCAAUCCCUUGUCUGGGAA